rnacentral:tRNA from 1 species
GGUUUGGUGGUCUAGUGUAAGUAAAAUCGACCUUGAGUCAACACGAUCAGCGGCUAAUAACCAUCCAGGGUAUGAUUCUCGCUUAGGGUGCGAGAGGUCCCGGGUUCAAUCCCCGGCCAGACCC